rnacentral:tRNA from 1 species
UGUAGCUCAGUGGUAGAGCACUUGCCUCGUAUGCAUGAGGCCCUGGGUUCAAUCCCUGCA